rnacentral:misc_RNA from 1 species
GUUGAUAUAGUUUUGAAGUAAGGUUUGGGUGCUCUCUGAACAUAGGCCUUUCCAGUAGCCAGCAUUAAGAUGCAUACAAGUGAAGCUGCAGCAACUGCCACAAUCUUGAGGUCCUUGUCAUCGCUCUUACGGAAUGAGAAGCCAUAGGUUACGGGAGGCAAUAGUCCAAAUAUGAUAUAUGAUAAUAUAACAAGUACAACAUGCAGUAUGAAGUUCUCUCUCCGGCCAAGUUGUUCUCGAUAUCUAUCUACUUGUUUUUCCAUUAUCUGAUUGCUGGCUUGCUCGAAACGAUCUCUUUUCAACUCCCAAAGAUUGUGGAAAAUGAUGAAAAGUCCACCAAACAGAUU